rnacentral:rRNA from 1 species
UAUUGAACGCUGGCGGCAGGCCUAACACAUGCAAGUCGAACGGUAACAGGAAUCAGCUUGCUGAUUCGCUGACGAGUGGCGGACGGGUGAGUAAUGUCUGGGAAACUGCCUGAUGGAGGGGGAUAACUACUGGAAACGGUAGCUAAUACCGCAUAACGUCGCAAGACCAAAGAGGGGGACCUUCGGGCCUCUUGCCAUCGGAUGUGCCCAGAUGGGAUUAGCUAGUAGGUGGGGUAAAGGCUCACCUAGGCGACGAUCCCUAGCUGGUCUGAGAGGAUGACCAGCCACACUGGAACUGAGACACGGUCCAGACUCCUACGGGAGGCAGCAGUGGGGAAUAUUGCACAAUGGGCGCAAGCCUGAUGCAGCCAUGCCGCGUGUAUGAAGAAGGCCUUCGGGUUGUAAAGUACUUUCAGCGGGGAGGAAGGGAGUAAAGUUAAUACCUUUGCUCAUUGACGUUACCCGCAGAAGAAGCACCGGCUAACUCCGUGCCAGCAGCCGCGGUAAUACGGAGGGUGCAAGCGUUAAUCGGAAUUACUGGGCGUAAAGCGCACGCAGGCGGUUUGUUAAGUCAGAUGUGAAAUCCCCGGGCUCAACCUGGGAACUGCAUCUGAUACUGGCAAGCUUGAGUCUCGUAGAGGGGGGUAGAAUUCCAGGUGUAGCGGUGAAAUGCGUAGAGAUCUGGAGGAAUACCGGUGGCGAAGGCGGCCCCCUGGACGAAGACUGACGCUCAGGUGCGAAAGCGUGGGGAGCAAACAGGAUUAGAUACCCUGGUAGUCCACGCCGUAAACGAUGUCGACUUGGAGGUUGUGCCCUUGAGGCGUGGCUUCCGGAGCUAACGCGUUAAGUCGACCGCCUGGGGAGUACGGCCGCAAGGUUAAAACUCAAAUGAAUUGACGGGGGCCCGCACAAGCGGUGGGGCAUGUGGUUUAAUUCGAUGCAACGCGAAGAACCUUACCUGGUCUUGACAUCCACGGAAGUUUUCAGAGAUGAGAAUGUGCCUUCGGGAACCGUGAGACAGGUGCUGCAUGGCUGUCGUCAGCUCGUGUUGUGAAAUGUUGGGUUAAGUCCCGCAACGAGCGCAACCCUUAUCCUUUGUUGCCAGCGGUCCGGCCGGGAACUCAAAGGAGACUGCCAGUGAUAAACUGGAGGAAGGUGGGGAUGACGUCAAGUCAUCAUGGCCCUUACGACCAGGGCUACACACGUGCUACAAUGGCGCAUACAAAGAGAAGCGACCUCGCGAGAGCAAGCGGACCUCAUAAAGUGCGUCGUAGUCCGGAUUGGAGUCUGCAACUCGACUCCAUGAAGUCGGAAUCGCUAGUAAUCGUGGAUCAGAAUGCCACGGUGAAUACGUUCCCGGGCCUUGUACACACCGCCCGUCACACCAUGGGAGUGGGUUGCAAAAGAAGUAGGUAGCUUAACCUUCGGGAGGGCGCUUACCACUUUGUG